GCCAUUGUUAUUGUUGUAAAUAAAAUUGCAUGAAGUGGCUCUGUAAAAGAAUGCCUAGAAACUUAGGAUAAAGCAAUUAGCGCUGGAUCUAAAACAUGAGUCGAAAUUUCCGGUCCCCCUGUUUUCAUGAAAUCGAAGAUCUGCGGCAGAUACCAGGAACUGCAUCCUCUUCAGCAGCUGCUACAUUUGCGAAAAGCAAAGUGAAUGUGAAAUGAAUCGAGAAAAGAAUUGAGCCAAGUUGGCUUAGCCAAUUAGCUCCGAUUUUGCAAAAAUCAACACCAUCCAACCAACUCGGCUUGUUGUCGACACGCGCUUCCUCUGUGCAUAUAUUGACUGGUACUGGAAAGCUAAAGCCGCCUGCAGAUUCUGGUGCAAGGUGUCUUGGCCGGUUUGGCGGUCCAAGGCAUUGAUCUUCCGUUUGUCAUAAAAUUACAAAGUUCCCUUGUACUGCUUUUAAGGGCCGACCUAUACCAGAAUGCCACUUGCCACAUCACUAUGCCUGCGUUAACUGAAUUGGAAGGGAAGUGAGAGUGACCCUUCUGACCCCAUUUGAAGGAUUCACUGCGGGUUCGAGGACAACCCUUCGACCCGGUGCAUGAUGUUUUGGUACGCUUUGUUCUUCUGGUGGUUAACAACAAUCUGUUUGAGAUGGCUGCGAAGAUAAUUUUUUCUCACCGACCAUUAUUUGUUUGAAAUAUACCCCGAAAA